rnacentral:sRNA from 19 species
AUUAACAUCUAUUAACAGUAAUUAACAUGAAUACCUAUGAACUUGGUCAGGUUUUUAAAUAAUAUAGCGAUGUAGAUUAGCAAACACUAAUCUCAUGACAUUUCUCCUUUCAACCGAAACUGUUUUAAACAGAUUCGUUGUUCAACGCAAUGAUCACCCCAAUCAUUGCGUUUUUUUUGCAUCUCAUAAUAUUA